rnacentral:rRNA from 1 species
GACGAACGCUGGCGGCGUGCUUAACACAUGCAAGUCGAACGGAAAGGCCCUGCUUUUGUGGGGUGCUCGAGUGGCGAACGGGUGAGUAACACGUGAGUAACCUGUCCCUGACUUUGGGAUAACUUCAGGAAACUGGGGCUAAUACCGGAUAGGAGCUUUUGCAGCGUGGUGGGGGUUGGAAAGUUUCGGCGGUUGUGGAUGGACUCGCGGCUUAUCAGCUUGUUUGUGGGGUAGUGGCGUACAAAGGCUUUGACGGGUAGCCGGCCUGAGAGGGUGACCGGCCACAAUAGGACUGAGCUACGGCGCAGUCUCCUACGGGAGGCAGCAGUCGGGAGUAUUGCACAACGGGCGGAAGCCUGAUGCAGCAACGCCGCGUGCGGGAUGACGGCCUUCGGGUUGUAAACCGCUUUCGCCUGUGACGAAGCGUGAGUGACGGUAAUGGGUAAAGAAGCACCGGCUAACUACGUG